ensembl:miRNA Mir1958 microRNA 1958
AGCCUAGAAGAGAACUUACUGCUUCCACUUUCCUAUAGUUUAAUUUCUAACUGCAUUCUAUAGGAAAGUGGAAGCAGUAAGUUCUCUUCUAGGUUCC